AUUGAACGCUGGCGGCAGGCUUAACACAUGCAAGUCGAACGAUGAAACUCUAGCUUGCUAGAGAAGAUUAGUGGCGGACGGGUGAGUAACAUUUAGGAAUCUGCCUAGUAGUGGGGGAUAGCUCGGGGAAACUCGAAUUAAUACCGCAUACGACCUACGGGUGAAAGGGGGCGCAAGCUCUUGCUAUUAGAUGAGCCUAAAUCAGAUUAGCUAGUUGGUGGGGUAAAGGCCUACCAAGGCGACGAUCUGUAACUGGUCUGAGAGGAUGAUCAGUCACACCGGAACUGAGACACGGUCCGGACUCCUACGGGAGGCAGCAGUGGGGAAUAUUGGACAAUGGGGGCAACCCUGAUCCAGCCAUGCCGCGUGUGUGAAGAAGGCCUUUUGGUUGUAAAGCACUUUAAGCAGGGAGGAGAGGCUAAUGGUUAAUACCCAUUAGAUUAGACGUUACCUGCAGAAUAAGCACCGGCUAACUCUGUGCCAGCAGCCGCGGUAAUACAGAGGGUGCGAGCGUUAAUCGGAAUUACUGGGCGUAAAGCGAGUGUAGGUGGCUCAUUAAGUCACAUGUGAAAUCCCCGGGCUUAACCUGGGAACUGCAUGUGAUACUGGUGGUGCUAGAAUAUGUGAGAGGGAAGUAGAAUUCCAGGUGUAGCGGUGAAAUGCGUAGAGAUCUGGAGGAAUACCGAUGGCGAAGGCAGCUUCCUGGCAUAAUAUUGACACUGAGAUUCGAAAGCGUGGGUAGCAAACAGGAUUAGAUACCCUGGUAGUCCACGCCGUAAACGAUGUCUACUAGCCGUUGGGGUCCUUGAGACUUUAGUGGCGCAGUUAACGCGAUAAGUAGACCGCCUGGGGAGUACGGCCGCAAGGUUAAAACUCAAAUGAAUUGACGGGGGCCCGCACAAGCGGUGGAGCAUGUGGUUUAAUUCGAUGCAACGCGAAGAACCUUACCUGGUCUUGACAUAGUGAGAAUCCUGCAGAGAUGCGGGAGUGCCUUCGGGAACUCACAUACAGGUGCUGCAUGGCUGUCGUCAGCUCGUGUCGUGAGAUGUUGGGUUAAGUCCCGCAACGAGCGCAACCCUUUUCCUUAUUUGCCAGCGGGUUAAGCCGGGAACUUUAAGGAUACUGCCAGCGACAAACUGGAGGAAGGCGGGGACGACGUCAAGUCAUCAUGGCCCUUACGACCAGGGCUACACACGUGCUACAAUGGUAGGUACAGAGGGUUGCUACACAGCGAUGUGAUGCUAAUCUCAAAAAGCCUAUCGUAGUCCGGAUUGGAGUCUGCAACUCGACUCCAUGAAGUCGGAAUCGCUAGUAAUCGCAGAUCAGAAUGCUGCGGUGAAUACGUUCCCGGGCCU
rnacentral:rRNA from 1 species